GUCUUUCCUGGGUUACAACAAUUUAGGGGAUUCACCCUUAAGCCUAGUCCAGAAUUUGGUACCAAAACUAAGCUCACGUGGGUUCCUAUCAAUCAUGUUCAUCCUUAAGCCUAAUAUGUCAAAUUAACCCGUCAACCCUGAGUGGUAGAGGCAACGCUGGAAGUAGGUGAAGGGGCACUCUGGAGGGAGUCGCUUUGGACCAGGAGUUGGCUCUAAUUCCUCGAGAUCCUCCUCUUCCUCGCUUCCUGCCUCGUUUGCCUCCAUGUCCUGUUGGUGCAUCUCUAGGUGGUUGUUGGCUUCCUCAAGCUCCUCCUGCACAUCAUGGAGCUGGAUCUCCAGGAUAUCGAUGGUGUUAUCCCAGAUUUUCACCUGCUACUCUAGAGUUGCGAUGCGCUGGCUCAGCUGUUCCACUUACAGGCCUUUUUCCACCAAUUCUGAAGACAAGUUGACCACGAAGUCCUCUCGUGUCACACCCGGAUUUAAGGGACAAAGCCGGGUGCAUCUCAUACAUGCGCCAAAGAAGACAACAUAUAUAAUAAUAGAGUUUAUAGAGAUAAAUGUCACAAUAACAUCAGAUUACUUAUUACAUAGUGUAAGUCUUACAAAGUAAGAGAUAAAUAUAGAACGAACUAAGGUCCAUCCUUGGCGCCAUAAAGUCAACUAGGAGAUGCCACUUAGAUCAAAUAGAACUCCUCAUUGUGCGGCUCCUCUUGAACCACCUGUUCUUCUCCUGUGGGGGGUGUGAGACAGCAAGGGUGAGCUCACACAUGUUCAUCGCUCAACAAGUUGUGGGGAAUAAUGUGGCAUGAACUCACCAAAGGUGGGAGUUCAUGUGAAGUGUAAGGCUGAUCAACAAAAUAAAGGUUGAAGCUGAGCAUUGCUUUUAUAAGUUGGUCAAAAUUUUAUUAGCAGUUACUAAGUGUAAGUAAAUACCAAACCAUAAAAAUAAUAGAACAAAAUUAAUAAAUAAUCCCAUACAAUGCAAAUGACAAAUUGAAUUUAAGUUCCAUCAAUUAAUCAUGUGAGUGUCCGAGCCGCUCAUGACCGUGAGCACGACUAGUAUACCAGUUUUACACUCUGCAGAGGUUGUACCCGGUACCCACAAGUCAUGUAUCCCAUGUUGCCAGGGUUUGCAAGGCCCUUAGACACUACCGAGAUGAAUGGCUAGGGAUCCACUACGAGGCCUUUACAAAGUUCUACUAGCUUCCGAAAACCUGCUACAGUUUAUGGGAAGAGCACUUGCAAGAAUCCCUUGUCUGACCGCCAUGGCAACAAAAUCAACCCGAGAACCUCCCUGCAUGCAAUUCCCCUACUGCCCUUGCCCCUUUGGGUAAGGUAGUCUUCCACUAGCUUUCCAAAUUAGUCAGCCAAGGGCGUCCCAUACCACCCUUGUGGUGGCACUGUUUUCCCGGGUGGUUCUCUAUGUUCCCAUUAACAUAAUGAUCUUAUCAUGAACAGUAAAUAAUAAACUGAUAACAAAAGUGUGAACAUGAGUAAUGUAUAUCUCUAUACCCAAAACAACAUAAAGCAAUAGCAUGUACUACCCAAAAAUUCAGUGGUAAAACAUGGUAUAAAGAUACCCAAAACUAGGGUAACCUAUUGGAUCCCAUCAAAUUAACCUAUGCAGAUCAUUAUGAUUAAUAAGAACAUGACUGGGUAAAAGAAGUGAUCAAGGGCAUAAUUUGCCUUCAAUGAGCUCCUGCUUAGCAACUUCUAUCUGCUGAACACCGGAAUCCCCAGCCACUGACUCUUCUACUCGCCACAAUACAAACAAGCACGGUACAUAGAGAAAAUUAACAUCACCACCAAACAUGUAAACAAAAUACAUAAUAAUAAUCUACACAUUAAAAUAAGAUCAUAGGAACAUGAAUCAUUAAUUUUGGAGUUAUAAAUUUUAAGUUACGAAUUUCCAAAGGUUUUAUGCAUUUGAUACAAGAUUAAUUAGGAUAUUAAUUUUAAUGUGGAUUUCAUGUCAAAACAGUGGUACUAAUUGAUAAACAAUAAUAUUAUAAAAUUAUAUAAACUGGAAUGACUCAAUUUGGAAUUAGUAUGGAUUUUCUAUGAAUUAAAAAUAGAUUUCCAAUUCAAUAUUUCCUGAUUUACCAACUCUCUGGAUCGGGCGCAUAGUUUCUAAAAAGGGCAGGGGUCUCUGCGCAAGAUUUUCUAGACUCAGUGCAUAGCAGCACGGGACUGCGGGUUUGUUCCAAAUAAAACCAGGGUUUCUUAUGUAAAACUCUCAAUCGAAAGGGUAUCACCCAAUCUGAGCCGUGCAGUCUGAGAUGACCGGCCCGGAUUAGAAGCGACCGCGCUGCACUCCUACGCGCAACGUGAUGCUAGACUAAUGCACCAGAUUUAAAUAAUCCUUAGAUCAACUUCCACCCGCACGAUUUCUAUUCAACGUCACAGAUCUAACCUACCCCAACCGGUGCCCUACUUCUAAUCCGCUCCGUCGAUGGAGGAUCCAACGACGCCGUCCCCCGCACACAUUCGGACAUCCCGAGCGGCGGCGCCACGCCGGCACACGGCGGCGCCAUGGCCGGCGCCCACGGCCAUGCGCCCAGGACUCCUAAAUCUCACCUCUACGCUGUGAUUCAUGCUGAAGGGAUGAAUACGACCACUCACAACAAGCCUAACCCGUGAUCGACAAAGCAGGGAGCACCACCACGACGACGGGCGCCGUGACCUUCUCCCAUGCGACCGAAGCGGCAAUCGAUGCCAUAACCAUACAAAAUACAUGGCCGGUGGGUACUACAUGGUCCCUAGGUGACGACGAAUCGAGUGGAGGCUCUUACCGAGGAUCCCUGGGUGGAGGCGAACUCGACCACGUGCGGAUGGAGCUUUGCUACAAUGCCAGCGAGGAAUUGACCCCCGAUGUGCCCGACUUCGCGCCCAACACCGUUAAAAACUUGUUCUGCGCGCUGCAGCGAACUCCGUUGACUGGGCACGAGGUCGCAAUCACGACAGCGAUGACGUCACCAGCGCUCUGAUUCUCUCAGUUCCCCGCGCGGUGCUAACUAGCGAAAUUAGGAGAAGAGGAGAAAGAGGGGGAGGUCGCCCACUUAUCCUACAGCGAUGCCUACUGCGCGAGGAUCUCACCCAGUAGUUACGCCAGCUGGAGCUGCGGGGCGACGGUUACAGCGUCCACAAUGGCCGGCGACGCGGACAUGGAGGAAUCGGUCGCGGUGGGUGGGUGACUUGCGGGGCUCGGUCAACAGGAAGCUUGGGCGACGGAUGACACAGGCGCCGUAAGAUCGGGCCCAAUCGUCAGUGCGUGACUGAGUCUGGCGAGCGGGUGAGGAACUGGUCUAGAUCUCGGGCGCGCGACAAUGGUGGCGUGAUGCCCAUAUGGUGGAGAAGAAGGGGAGCCCCGGCUGACUGGUGGGCCCCA
rnacentral:lncRNA from 1 species